UUUGUUAUGACUUUUGUGGUAAUAUACAGGCACAAAAGAAAAAUGAGAAGAAAAAUGUUAAGAAAGAUGUUGUGGAAGAAAAUCUAGCAAGUGAUUUCUUCAAUUGAUUAUGGAGGUGAGAGAUGCGAGCAACUUGAGUUCCAGAAGAAAGUUUCUCAACACUAUGAGAUGCUUCAUCAUGCAUGGAAGCUGAAGAUGCCGAAACACAAGCUCUUUCUGCUUCAUCCAAAACUGCAACCAAAAUGGUUAGCGAUAGGUGAGGAUGCUCAAAAGAAUCUAAACAGGCACUUAAAGAAGAAAUGCUCUUGUCUGGUCUUAAAGAAAGCAGCUGAGGGCGAUCAAAGAUAACCUAUCCACUCUCAUGGUAUGCUUAGUUACAAAACAUGUUCAUGAUAUUUGUGAUACAGAGAAUUUGUAUUCCCUUAGGACAUAGGAAUGAACUUAUAAUGAUUUAAGUGAGAAUGAACUCAACUUGUGAAGUUUUUAUCUUUAUCUAUUCCCUUAGAAUUUUUUUGGUACUUCAAGAAUUUGUAUUGUUUUUUGAUAUGAAUCAAGUGAACAUUUGAUAUAA